UACAGAGGGGGCAAGCGUUGUUCGGAAUUACUGGGCGUAAAGGGCGCGUAGGCGGCCUGCUAAGUCGAACGUGAAAUCCCUGGGCUCAACCCAGGAACUGCGUCCGAUACUGGUUGGCUUGAAUCCGGGAGAGGGAUGCGGAAUUCCAGGUGUAGCGGUGAAAUGCGUAGAUAUCUGGAGGAACAUCGGUGGCGAAGGCGGCAUCCUGGACCGGUAUUGACGCUGAGGCGCGAAAGCCAGGGGAGCAAACGGG
rnacentral:rRNA from 1 species